GACGAACGCUGGCGGCGUGCCUAAUACAUGCAAGUAGAACGCAGUAGCGAACGGGUGAGUAACGCGUAGGUAACUGCGUCAUAGCGGGGAAUAACAAUGGGAAAAGCUUGCUAAUACCGAAUAAUGCGAGAUGGACCUGCGUUGUAUUAGCUAGUUGGUGCUGUAAAGGCUCACCAAGGCGCCGAUAACUAGCCGACCUGAGAGGGUGAUCUGCCACACUCGGACUGGUACACGGCCCAGUAUCCUCUGGUAGGCAGCAGUAGGGAAGCUUCGGCAAUGGACGGAAGUCUGACCCGGCAAAGCCGCGUGAGUGAAGAAGGUUUUCGGAUCGUAAAGCUCUGUUGUUAUAAAAGCGGUAUCUAACCAGACAGGGACGGCUAACUACGUGCCAGCAGCCGCGGUAAUUC
rnacentral:rRNA from 1 species